rnacentral:rRNA from 1 species
GCUUGUCUCAAAGAUUAAGCCAUGCAUGUCUAAGUACAAGCCUCAGUAAGGUGAAACCGCGAAUGGCUCAUUAAAUCACACCUAAUCUACUGGAAAGUUACUAGUUACUUGGAUAACUGAGGUAAUUCUUGAGCUAAUACAUGCGAAAAAUCUCGACUCACGGAGAGAUGCUUUUAUUAGAUCUAACCAUCAUUUGGUGAAUCAUAGUAACUGAUCGGACCGUGCGUUAGCGCGGUAAAUCGUUCAAGUUUCUGCCCUAUCAGCUUUCGAUGGUAGUGUAUUGGACUACCAUGGCAGUCACGGGUAACGGAGAAUUAGGGUUCGGUUCCGGAGAGGGAGCCUGAGAAACGGCUACCACAUCUAAGGAAGGCAGCAGG